GGUAGCUUAGUGGUAGAGUGCUUGCCUAGCAUGCAUGAGGCCCUGGGUUCAAUUCCUCAGUACCA
rnacentral:tRNA from 1 species